CCUACGGGUGGCAGCAGUCGAGAAUCAUUCACAAUGGGCGAAAGCCUGAUGGUGCGACGCCGCGUGGGGGAAUAAAGUUCUUCGGAUUGUAAACCCCUUUCAUGUGGGAGCAAAUUAAAACGAUAGUACCACUAGAAGAAGAGCCGGCUAACGCUGGUCACGCAGCCCCGGUAAUGCAGCGGGGUCAAGCGGUGUUCGGAAUCCCUGGGCGUAAAGCGUGCGUAUGCUGUUUAGUAAGUCGUGUGUGACAAGCGGGGGCUCAAACCGCAGAAGGCACAUGAUACUGCGAGACUUGAGUAAUGGAGGGGGAAGCGGAAUGCUCGGUGUAGCAGUGAAAUGCGUAGAUAUCGAGAGGAACACUGGUGGCGAAGGCGGGUUCCUGGACAGUAACUGACGCUGAGGCACGAAGGCGAGGGGAGCGAAAGGGAUUAGAUACCCCAGUAGUC
rnacentral:rRNA from 1 species